CAAGUGCGAGAGUAACUGCUCGCACCAUGACGGUACCUAACCAGAAAGCCACGGCUAACUACGUGCCAGCAGCCGCGGUAAUACGUAGGUGGCAAGCGUUGUCCGGAAUUAUUGGGCGUAAAGGGCUCGCAGGCGGUUUCUUAAGUCUGAUGUGAAAGCCCCCGGCUCAACCGGGGAGGGUCAUUGGAAACUGGGAAACUUGAGUGCAGAAGAGGAGAGUGGAAUUCCACGUGUAGCGGUGAAAUGCGUAGAGAUGUGGAGGAACACCAGUGGUGAAGGCGACUCUCU
rnacentral:rRNA from 1 species